AUGAUUACGAACGGUUGCCUUCAGUGCUGGCCAGAACUGGUAAGUGCACGUUGGUGACUUUCAUCCAAUCUCCUGUGCACCUUUGGCCUCUUGCUAGCUUCGGCCGGCAGAGGAAUUUACACACACUCGAAUGUAAUGAAAACUACUGUUGUGCGCAAGCACUACCUAAUGUA
rnacentral:misc_RNA from 1 species